GAAACGUAUGAAUGAAAAGGGCAUAUAUGCGUAAUCGUGAAUCACCGAAGUCAACACAUGUACUGCAGUAUAGUAUUUUUUACAAAUAAAAUUGUGUACGGUUUUUUUCCUGAAUGAAUCCUAAUCAAUAAUGGAGAUUUUCUUUGCGUACUACAAGUUAAGAAGCGCUUCUACAGAGGGAUAUUCAUUUACUCAUUCACAUCAUAAUAAUAUAUAUACCCAUUAUUAGGUAAGGCCGAGAUCUAAGAAGCAACUCGUUGAUGAUGAAACAUAAUAUUAUUAUAUGGUAUAAACAGUGUCGCUGCCGAGAAGGUAUGCGAAGAGUCCUAUAAGUUAUAACUGUCGUCGAGUUCGACAGGAAUAAGUGCGUGCGACGGUCGUAUAGGUACCUAUACGUGGAGAACGAACACGGACCUCACUACCUCAAUUUCGAGUGGAUCGAUGGAUGCUGUAUUGAUUUUACAACGAUGUGUUUUUAUUUUUAUUUUUAUUCGCUGGGUUAAAAUGCUUGAACAUUGAAUACAAGGUUUUCAUAAUAAGUUUCCAAUUAAAAAAUAUCGGAAAUGCAUUGUCACAAUUUUUUUUCGCCAACGUUUUAGAAUUUUGUAAGUUUUCAAAAAUUUCCGAACUUUUUUGUAAUUAGAGAUUUAUAAAAAAAAUUUCAUUUUAUAUCGAACAUUUGAUAAUUUAAUACUUUUUUUUUAUAAGUUUUUUUAACCCAUUCAUUCAA